GACGAACGCUGGCGGCGUGCCUAAUACAUGCAAGUCGAACGCAGUGGGGACGGGUGAGUAACACGUGGGUAACCUCCCAUCAGAGGGGAUACCACUUGGAAACAGGUGCUAAACCGCUACUGAUGGAUGGACCCGCGGUGCAUUAGCGAGUUGGUGAGGUAACGGCUCACCAAGGCCACGAUGCAUAGCCGACCGGAGAGGGUGAUCGGCCAAACUGGGACUGAGACACGGCCCAGACUCCUACGGGAGGCAGCAGUGGGGAAUAUUGGGCAAUGGACGAAAGUCUGACGCAGCAACGCCGCGUGAGUGAAGAAGGCUUUAGGAUCGUAAAGCUCUGUCGUUAGAGAAGCGGUAUCUAAACAGAAAGCACCGGCUAACUACGUGCCAGCAGCCGCGGUAAUUC
rnacentral:rRNA from 1 species